UACAGAAGCCUCGAGCGUUACCCGGAUUCACUGGGCGUAAAGGGUGCGUAGGCGGUUAUAUUAGUCGGGUGUUAAAUCCUGGGGCUCAACCCCAGGCUCGCAUCCGAAACGGUAUAACUAGAAGAAAUGAGAGGUGAACGGAACUCACGGUGUAGGGGUGAAAUCCGUUGAUAUCGUGGGGAACACCAAAUGCGAAGGCAGUUCACUGGCAUUUUCUUGACGCUGAGGCACGAAAGCGUGGGUAGCGAAUGGG
rnacentral:misc_RNA from 1 species